AGUAGAAUUGCUGGAUCAUAUGGUAAAUUUGUUUAGCUUUUUAGGAAACCACCAAACUGUUUUCCAAAGUGGCCAUACCAUUUUACAUUCCCACCAGCAAU
rnacentral:pre_miRNA from 1 species